UUGGAUUGCCUGCAACUCAAAUUUAGGCCAAUGGAACAAUGCUGAAUGCGAUCUGACAGUCAACUCCACCCACAACAUGCUAUCUGUUGCGGACAUCCCCUUUGCAUGCGCUACUGGUUUCUCGUAUAGAAACAGCGCUGCGACCAACCACCAACCAAAGCAGCGGCAGCAGAAGGCAAAGGAAGGCACUGACUCAGCAUGAAUUUUCGUUUCUGCAUGUGCGCAACUGUAUGAGUGUGUGGGUAAGUGUGCGCUUGUGUGUGUGCUGUGUUCUGUUAUUAUCUCUCUCCAUGUGUGAGUGAGGGACUGUCGGCGGUGGGCGAGUAUUGGUUUGUUGUCGACUGUUCGAUAGAGCAUCGUCGUGCAUCUGGUGAAUUAUGUUCGCCUGGCUAAAAUAUCGGUAGUUUUGCUCGCCGCGUGACGAUGGCGCGUGACUUGGACAUCGCCAGUGAUUGGAAUCGGUAUCGAUAACGUGCUUGAGGGAGUCAUUCACAUUUACAUUAAGACUUCGAAUUGAUUGCCAGGAAAUAAAUAAAUAAAGUCAAGUGCGUUCGAAGGCAUUUGAAUGCUCUGCGUCGGCAUAUGGAAUGUUGAGUGAGGAGAGUUGACUGUGAGGAUCACCUAUACAUAUGCAUAUAUACGAAUAUUAUAUAGAUUUAAUUAGCUUCUGUCUGACUAGGCUAAUUAGCUCCAGUAAUCUAUUCAAAUUUGUACUCAAUUAUACAACUGAGCAGAUAACACAAUCUUUAUAUAUAUAUAUAUACUUUAUAUUGCUUUAUGGUGUGGUGAUGAAAACAGCUGUUUAAAAACAAACAGUUGAUUUAUUUAUUAUUAAAUACUAGAGAUGUGUUGCUGCCCCAAAUGAAGUCACGCACGUUUAAUUUAAGACAAUCACGAAAUUUCCUUUUGUGGAAAGUUCAUGGUAAAUUGUACUUCUAGCUGGCCUGUAUAUUCAGGAAGAACCCUUCUGUGCGCUUCUCAUGCAUGCACCGCAUAAUUCCCCUGCAAUGAAGUUAAUUGAAAUAAAUAAAAGAUAUUUUGUUUGUUUAUUCGCUAAUUUGUUUAUUUCUUCACAUAUGUAUAAUUUAUGUUAAUUUCUUGUUUGUGUUUAUCCCACUGCAUGUUGGCAAUGCUCAUAUGUAUGUAUGUCCACUGUAGCCCAGGGCGGGGCUCGUUUAUCCAUUUAUCAUAAAACUUAUUAAAUAUUUAUCAAUUCUUAAAUUCAAUUGCUUUUCCUUUUUAA